UGGAUGCGUAGGUACUUAUUAUAUAAAUCCAGUACUACUUCCAAACCGUUACUUAACAUAAUGAGACUGUGUCAAAUUGCGUGCGUUCUUUUCGUUUUACUUCUCGGUGUCAAUGAGAUACAGGCAAGCAUCCAUCAUCCAAGUCGUGAUGAAGGACGGGCGAUUGAUCCAUUGUCAUCUGCCAUAAGGUUCUUUCGAUUACUCCGCUGUGAUGCAGGAAAGUACCGCGACGCUCGCAAUCGUUGUGUGUCUCCUUGGAACUAAGGAAUCGGCAAUUUCGUUUUUAGAAGUGCGGUGAAUCAUAUAACAGUAUUAUUCUACAUUUUUUUAAGUUAAUAAAUGUCAUUUGGUAGAGA